UUGACGGGCUGUGUGUCUGUGAGGGAGCUCGCCCGAAGCUGUCUCCAUUCUGAAUAAAGCUGUUGUGAGCAAUGUGUGCUGGAAUUUGCUCCCUACUUGCUCUGGCUUAUGAGUAACAGGAUCCAUGAGUGAUUGGAUUGUUGUCUCCCUAGUAAUUGGGUGCUGCAUGGAGUCGGGGUCUAACACACACCUCCAGUGAAUGAGAACUACAACUUCUCUGAGCAAUCUGUCCUAACAAUGCAGCAAACCCAGAAACAAAUCAAGGAAGACAUCUUGGGAAGGAUCCCAUAUCAUUUUAUCCACUCAAAUGGCUACACUUUGGCCAGGAAGCAGCUGUGACCACCUGAAUCCUGAGAUCCUGCUCCUGCCUUUGUUUCAAGCUAAUUUGCAUCAUCACAGAUCCUCACAGGAGGUGAGAGGCUCCAUACCAGCUAUGAACUGACUGCCCAGAGGCGUUUUCCAUCUAUUGACUCCUCUGUGAAAUCCUAUGAAAUAUGAACUUUCAUUUCUACACAGGAGAACUUUUACAAUCUUUUCUCCAAUGCCUGAUGAAAGGUGUUUGUGCCUGAAAGCUUGCAAUUAAAGAAUUUUUUUUGCAAUGAUCUUGUUGGUCUAAUAAAAGAUUUCAUCUCUA